GUUUCUGAACCCCCUGCUUUACAUGCCCAUUGUUGGGGUUCAGGAAUGCUGUUACUUGUCUGUUUCGGUCAGUCUUGUCGUUGGUCGUUGUGUAGGCCUGUGUCUCUUUGAGUUGACCUAUGUCCGGUUGUCGUCGUGACUUGACUCCAGCGCACGGCGUUGCUGUGCACGUCUUGCUCAACCCAAUCUGGACUUUGGGUCUCUGUGUGUGUUUGGUGCGUUUUGCAAGUAAAGGAGUUAUGACACAAGGCAGACGUAGCAUCAAGAGUGCGGGCCAGAGUAAUGGCCUAUAUAACUGCAUCAACUCGAUUACAAGAAUGGAUGGAAGUGGACUGCUUGCGUGGUGGACACAAACAGCCAAACACACAAGGUGGACAAGAGGACCGCUGGUGGUUCCAGGAGACCUUGUUCUGAUCCCCAGCCCAACAAGGACACCCAGAAGGACAUGCAUGGUGCCUGGGGGUCCGUCUCAGCCUUGUAAUAUCCCGUGAACGAAGGCUCCCUACACUCCACGGUGAACAAUGAUGUCAGGCGUAUAUAUCUAUCUAUACAUCCAUAGAUGUAUAGAUAUAUUAAGUGCGUAAAGACCAUCCUAUUGUUGUCUUUGUCCUUGCCACCUCUGUCUCCAUCAAGGGCGGUCAGGAGUGUGUGCGUUUUUGUUUGUGUGUGUGCCUGUGCCUGUGUGUGUGUGUGUGUGUGUGUGUGUGUGUGUGUGUGUGUGUGUGUGUGUGUGUGUGUGUGUGUGUGUGUGUGUGUGUGUGUGUGUGAGGAUGGGGUCAUUGAGGGUGCGUUUGAUUCAUGGUUUCCUCGGUAUGGGUGCUCCAGAGAGUGCACCCCAGCUGUUCUUGAGCCACGGUCGACACCGGGCCGUAGUGACGGAGGAGGAGAUGGG
ensembl:lncRNA